AAUACCCUUAACAAUGAAAAGGAACACCUAUCUACUUGUUCUUGAUGGAAGGAAACAAUGGCUUCAAAGGUGCAAGGAAAAUAGGCUGAGUGCUGGGGUUCUGCAGGAGGAAAUCAAGAAGGUCAAGGGAGAUUUGAUGGCUUGGCUGGACAUUUCCAGUGUACUCUGCUGCUUCACUGAAUAUUGGAAGAGGUGCAAGGCAGGACAGAGGCACUUCUCUCUCUGGAAAGAGGCAUGUGAAAUGAUCGACCUCGGCAGAAAAGCCCACGGAGGUGCCAAUACCAGGAUAAGGGGAAGAGCUGGGAAGUAGAGAGAAGGACCGAUUCGGUGGCAGGAGUUCAGAGCACGUGCUUGGUGAGGGAGAGAUCGUGUUGAAGCGCAUUAGCACCGUGGAUUAUUACGCAAGCAAAGGAAUCCCACGUAAACGUUGUGACACGGUGCCUUCAGGUUCCUGGGCACCUAGGAAAGAAGUCCUACUAGCGGCAGCAAUGCAAACAGCCCUGCCAGCCACAGGCCGUGAGUCCACCUGACUGCCCUGAGCCUUGCUCACCAGUGAAGCGCCUAGGACCACGUCUAUUAGCACAGUGCCCUAGGCCACACCCACCACCAAAGUGUCCUGCGCUGUGCCUGUUGGGGAACAUCAGCAAAAAGCCGUGACUGCCGCUUGACCCGGGCUUUCGGAGGCUCCUCACCCCAUCCCCUGUCCCGGGAACCGGGUCCUGCCUUCCUUUCCUGCCCCCAAAGGCUGCUCCGAGGA